UUUUGGACAAUGGGGGCAACCCUGAUCCAGCCAUGCCGCGUGAGUGAAGAAGGCCUUCGGGUUGUAAAGCUCUUUCGGACGGAACGAAAUGGGCGGGACUAAUACUCCUGUCUGAUGACGGUACCGUAAGAAGAAGCACCGGCUAACUACGUGCCAGCAGCCGCGGUAAUACGUAGGGUGCGAGCGUUAAUCGGAAUUACUGGGCGUAAAGCGUGCGCAGGCGGUUUCGUAAGCUGGAGGUGAAAUCCCCGGGCUUAACCUGGGAAUGGCCUUCAGGACUGCGAGGCUAGAGUGCGGCAGAGGGAGGUGGAAUUCCACGUGUAGCAGUGAAAUGCGUAGAGAUGUGGAGGAACACCGAUGGCGAAGGCGGCCUCCUGGGCCAGCACUGACGCUCAUGCACGAAA
rnacentral:rRNA from 1 species